rnacentral:tmRNA from 1 species
GGGGCUGUUCAGGUUUCGACAGGGAUAGAGACCGGAAGGAAGCGAGCCGUGUUUACGCCUGGGGUACACGAAAAAGAACUGGGUAACUAAAAUUAAAGGCAAACAAUAACGUUGCUUACGCUGCUUAAUUAAGCAGCAUCGCCACUCAAGCCUUUCGCACUUGACGCAGAGUGUGCGAUCAAUUAUCAAGUGCAAGAUCAGGAUCAUUCUCCGGGGUCCUGUGGUAAUUUAGGAGAACGCCGCUGUGAUAUUUGAUGCUUUGACAACAGCGGUAAUGAAAAGCAUCUGCGCUCGGAGAAGCUUCCGCAAUUUAUUUUUGGACGCGGGUUCGAUUCCCGCCAGCUCCACCA